GUUUUUCUGAACAAGCUUUUCCAUAGUGAAAUUGAGGUCAUUGAGACCUUUGUUCUCAACCUUGGCUUGCUCAAGUUCCUCAUGCAACUCAUUGUUUCGCAUCUCCAUGUCUUUCAUGAUCUGAGACACGGUUUGAAGUUCCACAGCCAAAUUAUUUAGCUCCUCUUGAGACUGAGAGUGCAAUUGCUGUAGGGUUUGAAACGCGGUCUCAGCUUCCUGGAAAUGCAAAUGCUCUGCUUGCACACAGCUCCACAAUUUGACUAGCUCGGUUUGUUUCUCUGUGAGCUUCUGACUUUGAUUCCCCAGUUUCUCCAAGAGACUAUCCAGCUCAGAGUGGAGAUUCUGAUUUGAUCUCUCAAGCAAAAGACAUUUCUCCUCAGAAAACUUUAACUUAGCAACUCCAUCCUCU